UUUGGAGGGCAAGUCUGGUGCCNNCUACCGCGGUAAUUCCAUCUCCAAAAACGUAUAUUAACCUAGUUGCAGUCAACANACUNUAAGGUUAAUAUCNGGGUUNUACCGGAGGUCNGGCUUUGUCUGUACUGGCGUGUANAAUUUCUACCCUCUGGGGAACCAAAUGCGUUAUUAAUUUAUCGCGGGGGGAAACCCGGACAUUUUCCCUGCAGAAAUUUGAGUGUUCAUGCCAGGCUUAUGUCUGAAUACAUUAUCCUGGGAUAAUAAAAUANGACGGUGGUNCCGUUUUGUUGGUUUCAGAAUCCCCGGCAUGAGUAAUAGGGAUAGUUGGGGGCAUUAAUAUUCAAUUAUCAUAGGUGAANAGGUCCUGGUUUCUGAAGACNAACUUCACCAACAACAUGGUUCCCCGAAGUGUUCAAAUUCNNGAACCAGUUUAAGGGAUCCAAGACNAUCGUAUACCCUCGUANUCUCUACCCCUANCCUUUGCNCAGCAAGGACCUUANUAUGUU
rnacentral:rRNA from 1 species